CACGUAGGGGGCAAGCGUUGUCCGGAUUUAUUGGGCGUAAAGAGCUCGUAGGCGGUUCGAUAAGUCGGGUGUGAAACCUCCAGGCUCAACCUGGAGACGCCACCCGAUACUGUUGUGACUAGAGUCCGGUAGGGGAGCGUGGAAUUCCUGGUGUAGCGGUGAAAUGCGCAGAUAUCAGGAGGAACACCAAUUGCGAAGGCAGCUCGCUGGAACGUAACUGACGCUGAGACGCGAAAGCGUGGGGAGCAAACAGG
rnacentral:rRNA from 1 species